rnacentral:rRNA from 1 species
ACUCCUACGGGAGGCAGCAGUGGGGAAUAUUGCACAAUGGGGGAAACCCUGAUGCAGCCAUGCCGCGUGUGUGAAGAAGGCCUUCGGGUUGUAAAGCACUUUCAGUAGGGAGGAAGGUAGUGUAGUUAACACCUGCACUAUUUGACGUUACCUACAGAAGAAGCACCGGCUAACUCCGUGCCAGCAGCCGCGGUAAUACGGAGGGUGCGAGCGUUAAUCGGAAUUACUGGGCGUAAAGCGCAUGCAGGCGGCCUGUUAAGUCAGAUGUGAAAGCCCGGGGCUUAACCUCGGAAUUGCAUUUGAAACUGGCAGGCUAGAGUUUUGUAGAGGGGGGUAGAAUUUCAGGUGUAGCGGUGAAAUGCGUAGAGAUCUGAAGGAAUACCAGUGGCGAAGGCGGCCCCCUGGACAAAGACUGACGCUCAGAUGCGAAAGCGUGGGGAGCAAACAGGAUUAGAUA